rfam:Pachysolen tannophilus NRRL Y-2460 unplaced genomic scaffold PACTA_scaffold_10, whole genome shotgun sequence.
AAGUCUAUAAUUUAACGGUUAAAAUGCUUCUUUGAUAAGGAAGAAAUAGGUGUUCGAUUCUCCUUAGACUUA